rnacentral:precursor_RNA from 10 species
AAAAAUAGCUUUGAGGGAAGUGAGUUGUUAUCUUUGGUUAUCUAGCUGUAUGAGUGUUUUGGUCUUCAUAAAGCUAGAUAACCGAAAGUAAAAACUCCUUCAAGAUCAUCGUACGGAGU